ncrna:unclassified sequences RT-18 RNA
CACCCCUUGGUGAAGAUAAGCAAAUUUGGGGAGCGGGUUAGUACACCUCUGCGGAGGCGCUGGAAAGCCCGUACAGCUAAAAGGAG